GCUGAUAUAGCUCAGUUGGUAGAGCAAUGUAUUCGUAAUACAUGGGUCGCAGGUUCAAAUCCUGUUAUCAGCUCCA
rnacentral:tRNA from 6 species